UUAGUAUGUCUGUUCCUUGAACCUUAGCUGUUUUCACAAAAAUAUACUCUAAUACCUCAGUAUACAUGGGCAGGGCUCACUUGAGGAGUAGACUGCAGUUGUGAUUCAAGUCCAAGUUGUUCCAAGUCUGUGAUUAGUCUCCCAGGUAGCCCACAGCCUUGGUAGUGUCACUUUCUACAAUUCAUUAUGUAACAACAACAAAUUGGUAAAUGCUGACAAUAUAGUUCAUCUUUGCAUAAAUAUAGAUUGUCCUUAUAUCUGUUCUGAUGGAGAGUAAAGCUCAAUGAUUCUGCUCAUUAAUCUUGUUGAGUGAGAGUGCAGGUGGGCAAAGAGAGGUGGAUACAAGAGCUUGAUUUACUUUUACAAUGAGAGGUAAAAAAGGAACGAAUAGCCUAUGGGUCUUUUGUCCAACCAAAAGCAUCUGUUAACAUUAAAGACCACAUACUUCAAGUUAUCUUCCAGCAAAAAAGGAAACAUAGAACUUGAACAAGAAGCCAGAUGACCAAAAUGUCCCUUAACUUCUUAUUGUUUUUUCUUAUAAUUAGCACCUGUUCAUGAAAUGGGAGAACAUUUCAAAUCUGGGUAGCUUAAGAAUGAAGCACAUAAAAUUAAAUCCUUCCGGAUAAAGACUCACACCAUGGUGACUUUGUCUUGGUUAUUCUGUUUGCAUAACCCACCUUGGGAAAGUAAAGCAGGAACAUAUUCUAGGGCUCUAAAUCAAAUUGACACCUACAAAAUGUUGAUGCCCAGUCAUACGCUGUCAGGCAACUGUCCAAGACUCCAGGUAGCAAUGUCCAUUCAUGCCCCUGUAAGAGGUACCUGGAUGGAAUGACUUAUUCUACAACUUCAUUUUCAAAGUUGGUUCUCCACAUACUUGUAUUCCAAGUAAUACAAAAUUAAAACAUAUAUGAAUCUACAUUCAUAACUUAAUCAUCCUUUGAGAGAACAUACAUCACACUUGGUACUGUACAGUAAGAAUAAAUUGUUUAUAGAAAAAAAUUCCAAUACAUUUCUUUUCAGCUAAAAUGUGGUGGGAAAAGGACAACCCAUGCUUUGUGGAGACAGGUCUGCAGUCCACCUGUUCAUUAUACUCAUAUUUUCAGUCCAGGAGUCUCCCUAGUCACAUAGAAAUGCCACCAGUUGGCCUUAAAACACACUUGCUAGAGAGAGGGGAGGCAAACAGUCCUCCCAAACGACGCUGGAGCCUCAAACAGGCUUAUCCAUUCAUAUCUUCUCCACCACAUUCUUAUUAGGCAUCAAACAGUCCCUUUAAAUAAGACUGGUUUUAAUAAGAUAUUAACAACUAAGUUUCCCGUGGAAUAAGAAUUUCUAACUUAGGGUAUCUCAGCACGUAUUCCCAGUCACAUAUGCCCUACACAAUUGCUUAAGUGGUAAGCAGCCUUAAAAACUCUCCUCUCUUUACCUCUUUGCGAAUCUACAGCAGUCUUUUAAGAUUGUUUUGCAAAUGCUAUAUUCACAAAGAGGUGUUUUUUUUUGUUAUGUUUUGUUUUGUUUUCAAGUAGAGUGCAUGGACUUCUCAGAAGUUUCUGUAUUUUAAGAAGUGCCUCUUUAACCCCAUAAUGAGCAAUCUUUAUGUUGGUCAGAAGCAAAACAGUUUUGUUUGCAAUUGUAAAACUUGGCUCUCCUAGCCCAAAUUCAACAGCCAUCACCCAGCAUCUCUGCCCCAUGUGUCUCUGGAAAAUGUCCUUAAAAAAAAAAAAAAAAAAA
ensembl:lncRNA